UACAGAGGGGGCAAGCGUUAUUCGGAAUUAUUGGGCGUAAAGGGCGCGUAGGCGGCCAUUCAAGUGACGGGUGAAAGCCCUCGGCUUAACCGAGGAACUGCCUGUCAGACUGGAUGGCUUGAGACCGGGAGAGGUGAGUGGAAUUCCCAGUGUAGCGGUGAAAUGCGUAGAUAUUGGGAGGAACACCAGUGGCGAAGGCAGCUCGCUGGAACGGUACUGACGCUGAGGCGCGAAAGCGUGGGGAGCGAACAGG
rnacentral:rRNA from 1 species